UCCUGGGUGGCUCAGUUGGUAAAGAAUCUGCCUGCAGUGCAGAAGACUCAGGUUCAAUCCCUGGGUCAGGAA